GAUGAACGCUGGCGGCGUGCCUAAUACAUGCAAGUCGAGCGAACAGACGAGGAGCUUGCUCCUCUGACGUUAGCGGCGGACGGGUGAGUAACACGUGGAUAACCUACCUAUAAGACUGGGAUAACUUCGGGAAACCGGAGCUAAUACCGGAUAAUAUAUUGAACCGCAUGGUUCAAUAGUGAAAGACGGUUUUGCUGUCACUUAUAGAUGGAUCCGCGCCGCAUUAGCUAGUUGGUAAGGUAACGGCUUACCAAGGCAACGAUGCGUAGCCGACCUGAGAGGGUGAUCGGCCACACUGGAACUGAGACACGGUCCAGACUCCUAAGGGAGGCAGCAGUAGGGAAUCUUCCGCAAUGGGCGAAAGCCUGACGGAGCAACGCCGCGUGAGUGAUGAAGGUCUUCGGAUCGUAAAACUCUGUUAUAAGGGAAGAACAAAUGUGUAAGUAACUAUGCACGUCUUGACGGUACAUAAUCAGAAAGCCACGGCUAACUACGUG
rnacentral:rRNA from 1 species